rnacentral:lncRNA from 1 species
AGAAAGAACAUAUAUAGAACUUAUAAUGUAAAAUUAAAAGUCUAGAUGACUUAGGCUUAAUUUGGUAUUGAGGCCUAUCUAACACUAUUAGAUAAAAUGGAGUUGAGAAAAAAAUGUAUAGAAAUAUUAUGCUUCCACGUUCUCCGGUGGGACCGCAGAAAAUAUAUCGUAAUCGACUCAUCGCGAUAUGUGGAACGCAAUAUUACGUACGAAAAUAAAUAUGAUAUUUUUCCAACGUACUUUCUCACCGCGCGUAAUGCAAUCUCUCCGCAAUCCCAAACGAAGUCAUAACAAACCUCUCACCAAACUCCAACAAAUAUGUUAAAAGAUGUGAGGAGGAAUGGAGCAUAAUAAUAAUAAUAAUAAUAAUAAUAAUAAAAAAAUAAAUGAAUAGUUUCGGAUGAUAGAUAUGAU